UUUUCGUUAUUAUUUUAUUAUAAUCACGAAAUUUUUUACAUUUUUUUUUUUUUUAAUUUAAUAUUUCGAGACAAGAUUCCGUAACCCACUUACAGAAGAGGAUUAUAUUAUUAUUCUUACAUGAUGAGGAAUUGCAUAAUUGAAUUAUAAUUAGAAUAGUAGGGCAGAGCAACAAAUCAAGAAGUCGGAGAAGAGAACGAAAUAAGUAGGAGCACGUUUAAUGAGUUUUACUAAUGACUUUCAUGGGUCACCGAUGACCUAUACGAGAUUCGACUGACCUGACAUAAUCCACCUACUUUAUAUUUCCUCUAGUUAUUUGGAAAAUGACCUUCAAUGACUCUUGAAUAACCUUUACCAAUCCCCUUAAAGGUUAAUUCCAUCCACUACACGAAGAGAAUAGAAUUGAACAGGAUUUAGAAGAUCAAAAGAUUGAUUUGUUGAACUGAAGAUGAUCUUCGAUGAUUAUUGGACAUGUUAGAGUUGAAAAAGAUUUAAAAAA